rnacentral:rRNA from 1 species
UACGUAGGUGGCAAGCGUUGUCCGGAUUUAUUGGGUUUAAAGGGUGUGUAGGCGGCUUUGUAAGUCAGUGGUGAAAUAUGGCAGCUCAACUGUCAGGGUGCCAUUGAUACUGCGGAGCUUGAGUACAGAUGAGGUAGGCGGAAUUGACGGUGUAGCGGUGAAAUGCUUAGAUAUCGUCAAGAACACCGAUAGCGAAGGCAGCUUACUGGGCUGUAACUGACGCUGAGGCACGAAAGUGUGGGGAUCAAACAGG